UCUUCAUUCCGCGUGCUCCUUCACCGGUCAGAGAGGCGAGAGAGCAUGCGAAAUGAAGAGA
rfam:Pristionchus pacificus strain PS312 contig8226, whole genome shotgun sequence.